rnacentral:rRNA from 1 species
AUUGAACGCUGGCGGCAGGCUUAACACAUGCAAGUCGAACGAGUGGCGGACGGGUGAGUAAUGUCUGGGAAACUGCCUGAUGGAGGGGGAUAACUACUGGAAACGGUAGCUAAUACCGCAUACCAUCGGAUGUGCCCAGAUGGGAUUAGCUAGUAGGUGGGGUAACGGCUCACCAAGGCGACGAUCCCUAGCUGGUCUGAGAGGAUGACCAGACACACUGGGACUGAGACACGGUCCAGACUCCUACGGGAGGCAGCAGUGGGGAAGAUGGGACAAUGGGCGAAAGCCUGAGGCAGCCAUGCCGCGUGUAUGAAGAAGGCCUUCGGGUUGUAAAGUACUUUCGGCAGGGAGGCGUUACCCGCAGAAGAAGCACCGGCUAACUCCGUGCCAGCAGCCGCGGUAAUUC